rnacentral:rRNA from 1 species
GACGAACGCUGGCGGCGUGCUUAACACAUGCAAGUCGAGCGGUAAGGCCCUUUCGGGGGUACGACGAGCGGCGAACGGGUGAGUAACACGUGGGUGACCUGCCCUCAGCUCUGGGAUAAGCCUGGGAAACCGGGUCUAAUACUGGAUAUGACUCCAUGACGCAUGUUGUGGGGUGGAAAGCCUUGUGCGGCUGAGGAUGGGCCCGCGGCCUAUCAGCUUGUUGGUGGGGUGANGGCCUACCAAGGCGACGACGGGUAGCCGGCCUGAGAGGGCGACCGGCCACACUGGGACUGAGACACGGUCCAGACUCCUACGGGAGGCAGCAGUGGGGAAUUUUGCACAAUGGGCGAAAGCCUGAUGCAGCAACGCCGCGUGUGUGAUGAAGGUCUUCGGAUCGUAAAGCACUUUCGACCGGGACCGAAACCCCGUU